rnacentral:rRNA from 1 species
GGUUAAGCGACUAAGCGUACACGGUGGAUGCCCUGGCAGUCAGAGGCGAUGAAGGACGUGCUAAUCUGCGAUAAGCGUCGGUAAGGUGAUAUGAACCGUUAUAACCGGCGAUUUCCGAAUGGGGAAACCCAGUGUGUUUCGACACACUAUCAUUAACUGAAUCCAUAGGUUAAUGAGGCGAACCGGGGGAACUGAAACAUCUAAGUACCCCGAGGAAAAGAAAUCAACCGAGAUUCCCCCAGUAGCGGCGAGCGAACGGGGAGGAGCCCAGAG